GAAAAUUUGAGGUUAAUUUUAUUCUGAGUGAAGUUUGGGGACUAACAGUCUUGGGAACAUAGACCCAGUGCAAACCAAGAGAGUACCCACAGUGGACUACACAAGACACAGUAUUUAUAGGUUAUAUUACAUAGAAGAUAGGAGAAGGGGGUAGUGAAACAAAGGUGAUAUUCUUACAGUUUUGAUUGGUGCUCAGUGAUGCAAGUAUAUAAGAUAAGCAAAUAUGUGGUGAAUGUAUACAGGGUAAACAAACAUGCAGGUGUCUUAGGGUCUGGAGAUGGAUGAUUGAUUCUAUCCUGACUGUGCUUGUCUGAUAGGCAAGGUUGUAAUCAGUACAUGCCAGUGAAAUAUUUGACAGACUCCAGCCAUACAGGUGAGAGUUCAGCUUUAGUUCAUAGGCCUCGUUUCUAUUACCCAUAUGUCCAAACUGCAACCAUCUCAGGUCACUUUACACAUUUUUCUUUCAGAUUUUCUGUUUCCUGACAACACUAUAUAGACAAUAGUAUAGCGUAAACACAGCUUUUAUAUAAACUGGGAAAUGAAAAAAAUUCAUGUUACUUGCUUUAUUG
rnacentral:lncRNA from 10 species